AUGGUCACAUAUAUGGAAAAGGGUGGCUGGCCAUGUGCUAUUUUAGAGUGGUGUGAACCCAAUUUUAUAAAAUUCAAAUCCCAUUUAAUUAAGAAGUCAAGUGGGCAAGUGGGUAGAAAAGCACUCAAGUGUUUUGUGAUAUUUUGAAGAGUUGUGUGAGCCAUUCUAACCCCCAAAUCCGACCACUCUCCCUCCCUCAUUCACUCUCAUCUGAUUUUUGAAGACUCUCUCAAGUGUUCUCUCCAUUUUGAACCCCAAGAACACCAAAGAAACUUGGAAGCUAAGUCUUGGUCUAGGAAGGGUUUUCCCUAAGUUGGUUAGGGUUUUUGAAAGGUUUUGAAGGAGUCAAAGCUUAUAGGAAGGUCCAAACCUUAAGCAAGAACACCAAAGAGUAUUGGCUAAGCGUAACUGGACUGAACGUUGGAGGGUGAAAACCUGCUGAGCGCUAAGGACUCCAAGUCAGUGCAAGGGCAAGGCAGAGCAGUGAGCGCUGGAGUCUUCCUUGCAAAUGUACAUGUGGACCGACCUUUUGGGAAGCCUUUUUAUUUUUGGAAAUGUUGUGUAAUUUUCCUAAACUAGGCUCACUCUAAUCUUUAUAAAACAUGUUUGUAAUUAAAUGUUAAGUAUGGCCAUACGACUUUUUAAAAAGUUUUUUUUUCUA